CAGGGAGACAAACAUUGAUUUUGAUGCCUGAGUAUUUUUAUUCUUAGGCCAGAAUCCUGUCACCUUAGGUCGAUCGGUACCUCAAUUUUGAAACUUAAAAUCAGCCAAAAGUUGAUUAUUUAGUUGAUUAAUUCAGUUCCUAAACUUUGUCUAGGUCACACCCCACAAGGGUUGAGUUUUCCUGGGCCAUUAGCUCAGGUGGUUAGAGCGCACCCCUGAUAAGGGUGAGGUCCCUGGUUCAAGUCCAGGAUGGCCCAUUCGGUGUUGGGGGUUUAGCUCAGUUGGUAGAGCGCCUGCUUUGCAAGCAGGAUGUCAGGAGUUCGAGUCUCCUAACCUCCACUGACCGAACUCAAUCUCCAGCUCUGCAUGAACAAUGGAGAGCCACUCGAUGUUGGUGUGUGAUUUAGAUCGUGUCCGCUAGAACGAACCCAGCUUCCUGUCAUUCCAUUUGGUUGACAAGAUGCUGGGCUCAAGCCGUUUUGAUACGUUCAAAAUGGUUUUUGUCUGGCAGAACCUUGACAACUGCAUAGGUGAGUCUGGAAAAAAACAAAGCAUCUCAUGGAUGCAUUGUUUUGGUCUUGAGUCCUUAAGGGUUCAAGUUCCAGAAUAAUGAAAAUUCUUUUGAGCAAGAGCCGAGACUCUGAAUUGUUCUUUUGAUCGUGUCGAGCGAUUGAGAGUUUGAUCUUAUUUUCUUUUUGAAAAUUUGAAAAUCUGUCUCAACAACAGUAAGCAGUUCAGAGAUUUAUUU
rnacentral:tRNA from 1 species